CCCCGAGCGUUNUCCGGAUUUAUUGGGCGUAAAGCGAGCGCAGGCGGUUAGAUAAGUNUGAAGUUAAAGGCAGUGGCUCAACCAUUGUAGGCUUUGGAAACUGUUUAACUNGAGUGCAGAAGGGGAGAGUGGAAUUCCAUGUGUAGCGGUGAAAUGCGUAGAUAUAUGGAGGANCACCGGUGGCGAAAGCGGCUCUCUGGUCUGUAACUGACGCUGAGGCUCGAAAGUGUGGGGAGCGAACAGGAUUAGAUACCCUGGUAGUCCACGCCGUAAACGAUGAGUGCUAGGUGUUAGGUCCUUUCCGGGACUUAGUGCCGCAGCUAACGCAUUAAGCACUCCGCCUGGGGAGUACGACCGCAAGGUUGAAACUCAAAGGAAUUGACGGGGGCCCGCACAAGCGGUGGAGCAUGUGGUUUAAUUCGAAGCAACGCGAAGAACCUUACCAGGUCUUGACAUCCCGAUGCCCGCUCUAGAGAUAGAGCUUUACUUCGGUACAUCGGUGACAGGUGGUGCAUGGUUGUCGUCAGCUCGUGUCGUGAGAUGUUGGGNUAANUCCCGCAACGAGCGCAACCCUUAUUGUUAGUUGCCAUCAUUCAGUUGGGCACUCUAGCGAGACUGCCGGUAAUAAACCGGAGGAAGGUGGGGAUGACGUCGAAUCAUCAUGCCCCUUAUGACCUGGGCUACACACGUGCUACAAUGGCUGGUACAACGAGUCGCAAGCCGGUGACGGCAAGCUAAUCUCUGAAAGCCAGUCUCAGUUCGGAUUGUAGGCUGCAACUCGCCUACAUGAAGUCGGAAUCGCUAGUAAUCGCGGAUCAGCACGCCGCGGUGAAUACGUUCCCGGGCCU
rnacentral:rRNA from 1 species